AUGAUUUUUGUUACAAUCGUCUUGCAUUUUUGCUGGAACCAGCGUUUUUUUUCUGCUACAACUGUUCUUCAGUUUUGCUGGAACCAACACGCCUUUUUUGUUUGCAAUUUUGACGAUGGCGAGCGUGCCGGUGGUGAGCGCCGAUGGCGAGCGACGGGCCUGUCGCCGCCGGAGCUGCAACCUUCGCUAUCGGAGCUGCAACCGCAGGCCACAGCUGUUGCAUGCGUGAAGCCAGCGACAAGUGCAAGCGGCGACCGGUGGCGGCGGCGAGUGUGUGGCCGCCGGCGACGAGGACAUCCGGCGAGGGCGGGCCAACGACGACGACGGCCGGUGAGGUGCGGCAACCGGAGAGCAUGUGUCCUGGCAAGGCGAAGGGAGCGAUGA
rnacentral:rRNA from 1 species